GUCGGGUGUGGUGGCCCACACCUGUAAUCCCAGCUACUCAGGAGGCUGAGGCAGGAGAAUCGCUUGAACCUAGGAGGUGGAGGUUGCAGUGAGCCAAGAUUGCGCCACUGCACUCCAGCCUGGGUGACAGAGCUAGACUCUGUCUCAA
rnacentral:SRP_RNA from 2 species